AAAAAAAAAAAAAACACGAAAACAAAAAAAAACCUAAGAAGAAACCCGCAAAACAAAUUCUUUCUAGCUUUGUCUUCCUUCUCCAUCUCUUUGUACAUUGUAUUUGUUUUGAUUCUUCGUUAUUAGCUUUCCUUCUCCAUAACCAUAGUUCCCAACUCUUCGUUAUCAGUCUUCCUGGAAACAUAAAAGAAAAAAACAAAAAAAAAUUAUUCGAGUUUUCCCUGCUUUCUCUUCACGAACUUACCGCUCGAUUUUCUUCUCUCAGUGUUCGAUGAAGGAGAUUAAGUGGGAUUCGUUGAUGGAAGGAAAGCUUGGGUUUUUGAUAAAGUGGAUUGCAAACAAAUUCAGUUUUUGUUUGUUUCUCUGAAUCAGUAAACCUUAACCCAAUUUAUUUAUUUUUUUACUUUUGCAGGUACGAUUUUGGUCCAAGAUGAGUUAUGGAGAAACCCUAAUAUCCAUUCAAGUUUAUCUUAUUCGUUUCCUAGCCCUAACCUUCAAACGACGUCAACAAAUCAGGUUUUGAUUUUUGGUUAAUCUUAUUUUUUGCAUUUUGAUUGCAGCUUGCAGGGCUAAUCCUUUUUUUUUCUCAUACAUGGCCUUUUUUUUAUUUAUUUUUCCUCAUACAUGGAAAGUUUAGAAAGGCUGCUAAACAUUCGCAGGACCAAGGAGUACCAGCCUUUGGAUUUUCUCAAUUAACAGGUCAAUACGAAAUAAACAAGGUACCUGAAGAGAUGAAGCACAAGACUUGAUUGAUCGUGCUGCGGAUGCGAUAAAUUUACACUUUCUGCUGGGGAGCUUCAUCUGACACCCCUAAUUUAGCCAUGAAUUUCUUAUGGCCUAUUUACGUACCUUGACCUAUGCUUUUGCAGGGUUACACUGAACUAAUGAAGCUGAAAAUGCGUAGUGUUCGACAGGAAAUGCUGCUUUAGAUGUGGGACGCACAGGGUCUUACUGAUUGAUACUAACUCAUUUCUAUAAUUACUACAAUAUAGUUAUGUUUCCUUUCGUUUACUUCGGCCAAUUCUGUAUUUCAUCUCAUUUAUUUUCUUUGCAGGAUUCGUGAUUGUUUGGAGCAGCAAUAUGCAAAAGACAUUACUACGUAUGAUAUGCAUCAACUUUAUGGGGCUCUUUAGAUAGAUCUGAAUGUUUUGAAUAUUUUAUACUCAUUGCCAACUUGCCUUGAGUUUUCAGUGUACUGACUGAUUUUGCAACAAUGAGAUAUGUCGAUUCAAGAAGCAUUCUAAACUGAUGAAAUCCGUAGCACCAAGAUCUUUCAUAUCUUCAAAUUAUGUUACCACCUGGGUGUAGUGUACAUGUUGUGUUGAAGCAGUAAUUAUUCAUUUCGUCAUAUAAGUUUUUAGUUUUCAUCAUCUUUCGUCGUUAAUCUACACUGGCAUUUGCAUUCCAGGUUGGGUAUCAACAAAAUGUAAAGACUAUUCAAAGCAGACAUUAAAGCAUUCUAUGGCAUCCGGAUGGAGUGCACGAAGUGAAUGGUAACAAAUUGUACAUCCAAUAUGAGGCAGGCAUCAAAGUAUUUUGGCAAUGGAAUGAGUGCAUUGAGAAAAUGUGGCAUCAGGCAUUCAACUACCAUAUAUAGAACAAAAUGACAACUUUCAACAUCCUAUUACCAUGGAGGGAAGCGGGUUCAGUUUCCUUAUGGAUUUAUUAUGGUGGCACAACAAGCUUAUCCAGUGUCUUAAAGAGACGAUUGAGCUUUGAAUUGGAAAGCCUAGCGGUUCGGGAUUUCAAGCGAAACAAUUUGAACCUAUCUUCCCAUCAAAAAUGAAGAAGUUCAGCAAAUGCGAGCUCAAAUUCAUGAACUGAGCAUGUGAUUCUAAAUAUAAAUGAUAUAUCUGCAGAUGCAAAUGAAAGACUCUCAAAAUACCUAUCAGAAGUGUCUAGAGUUGCUGCUCUUCGUUCUCAAAAAAAGGACACCCCUCAAGGUGUUCUGUUUACGAAUACUAAGCUCGAAGGUUCUCUAUGUAAGAUGUUACGGGUCUGCGAAAAUAAGGUUAUAAGUUAUGACAUAUACAUUAGGAUAUACGGUGAGGUGCCAGGCAACACCGAAUUAAAAACUCUAAGGGAUAGGGCAGGAUGAAACCUCGAGACACCAAAUGAAAAAUUAAAAACCCCAAGGGAUGGGGCAGGAUGAAGCAUCGUGACACCAACGGGGCGAGGCGAAGCCGAUCCAUGCCAAAUCAAAAAUCCAAAGCGACAUGGGGCAGGUUGAAGCAUCGCGACACCAACGGAGCGAGGCGAAGCCGGGCCAUGCCAAAUAAAAAAUCCAAAACUACUGGGCGAGGCAAAGCCAAGCCACAUCAAAUCAAAAAUGCACCGCGUCGAGGCGAAACCGAGCCACACCCACACCAAAUAAAAAAUGCACCGCGACAGGAGAUGGAAAAACCGUGUGACACCUAAUCGAAAAUGUAUCUUCACAGGACGAGGUGAAGCCGAGGACGAGGUGAAGCCGAGCUACAACAAAUCAAAAAUCCAAAACAACUGGGCGUAUGAUUAAAAUAAAAAGAUGCCCGGUGCGUAGCACGGGCCCAAAAUCUAGUCCUAGUGUGCAAACGUAAUUGGCCUCCUCGAAGAUCUAGUACUAUUUGUAUGUUGUGCCAUGUCAAGUCUUUGGAAAGAAAAGAACACGGGGCACAAUAAAACACGACACACUCAAUUUUAUAGGAUAUCACAACACGACAUGCUUAGUAUGCUCCAAUAUGUUUUGUAUCGAUCCUGUUUACACUCCUAGGAGUUGUCCAUGGUUUUUCGAAUGCAAGAUCUUAGACUAAUCGUCCAACGAGAGAUUAUUCUCUGGA